UUACAGCCAUACCAUAUCGAAACAGCAGUUCUUGUAUGAUCACCGACGUUAAGCAACGUCGUGCCUGUUCAGUACCUAGAUGGGUGACCUCUUGGUAAUACCAGAUACUGCAAG